GAUGAACGCUGGCGGCGUGCUUAACACAUGCAAGUCGAACGGAAAGGCCCAAGCUUGCUUGGGUCCUCGAGUGGCGAACGGGUGAGUAACACGUGGGUGAUCUGCCCUGCACUUCGGGAUAAGCCUGGGAAACUGGGUCUAAUACCGGAUAGGACCACGUCUUGGAUGUUGUGGUGGAAAGUUUUUUCGGUGUGGGAUGAGCUCGCGGCCUAUCAGCUUGUUGGUGGGGUAAUGGCCUACCAAGGCGUCGACGGGUAGCCGGCCUGAGAGGGUGUACGGCCACAUUGGGACUGAGAUACGGCCCAGACUCCUACGGGAGGCAGCAGUGGGGAAUAUUGCACAAUGGGCGCAAGCCUGAUGCAGCGACGCCGCGUGGGGGAUGACGGCCUUCGGGUUGUAAACUCCUUUCGCUAGGGACGAAGCGUUUUUGUGACGGUACCUGGAGAAGAAGCACCGGCUAACUACGUG
rnacentral:rRNA from 1 species